AACGAACGCUGGCGGCAGGCCUAACACAUGCAAGUCGAACGCCCUAGCAAUAGGGAGUGGCAGACGGGUGAGUAACGCGUGGGAAUAUCCCCCUCAGUACGGAAUAGCCCGGGGAAACUUGGAGUAAUACCGUAUACGUCCGUGGGGAGAAAGAUUUAUCACUGAGGGAUUAGCCCGCGUAGGAUUAGCUAGUUGGUGAGGUAACGGCUCACCAAGGCGACGAUCCUUAGCUGGUCUGAGAGGACGAUCAGCCACACUGGGACUGAGACACGGCCCAGACUCCUACGGGAGGCAGCAGUGGGGAAUAUUGGACAAUGGGCGCAAGCCUGAUCCAGCCAUGCCGCGUGAGUGACGAAGGCCUUAGGGUUGUAAAGCUCUUUUGGCGGGGACGAUAAUGACGGUACCCGCAGAAUAAGCCCCGGCUAACUUCGUGCCAGCCGCCGCAGUAAAAC
rnacentral:rRNA from 1 species